rnacentral:rRNA from 1 species
CAGUCGCCACGGUAACACGUAGGGUGCAAGCGUUAAUCGGAAUUACUGGGCGUAAAGCGUGCGCAGGCGGUUUUGUUAGACAGAGGUGAAAUCCCCGGGCUCAACCUGGGAACUGCCUUUGUUACUGCAAGGCUGGAGUGCGGCAGAGGGGGAUGGAAUUCCGCGUGUAGCAGUGAAAUGCGUAGAUAUGCGGAGGAACACCGAUGGCGAAGGCAAUCCCCUGGGCCUGCACUGACGCUCAUGCACGAAAGCGUGGGGAGCAAACAGGAUUAGAUACCCCUGUAGUCCCUGUCUCUUAUAU